GCCAAGACUCACCACAGAGGGAUGUGGAUGGAGGAAGACCUGUGGAUUCUACCCGCUGAAGAACUCACCUCUGCCUCGCCUCUCCACGCCCAAGCCAGACCCCAGGGGUGUUCGGGAAAGGGGAGCAGUUUUUGUUGCAGUUAACAACCGAGGACAAUCAGUGGGGAGGACCACAGAUGUCUGUACUCCUUAACAUGGAAUCAGUUCCUCACAAGCAGGAACUAGCCCAGCCUUAUAGGGUAAAGAAAAUGAACAUCUGUACAAUGGAAUAUUACUUGGCAGUCAAUUUAAGUGAACCAAGUACUGAUGCCUGCUGCAACAUGGGUGAACCCAGAACAUGUUCUGCCGUGUGAACAAAGCCAGGCACAAAGACUGCAU